rnacentral:rRNA from 1 species
GACGAACGCUGGCGGCGUGCUUAACACAUGCAAGUCGAACGGAAAGGCCCUGCUUGCAGGGUGCUCGAGUGGCGAACGGGUGAGUAACACGUGGGUGAUCUGCCCCUUACUUUGGGAUAAGCCUGGGAAACUGGGUCUAAUACUGGAUAGGACCAUGCUGUAGGUGGUGUGGUGGAAAGAUUAGUUUCGGUAAGGGAUGAGCUCGCGGCCUAUCAGCUUGUUGGUGGGGUAAUGGCCUACCAAGGCGUCGACGGGUAGCCGGCCUGAGAGGGGGGACGGCCACAUUGGGACUGAGAUGCGGCCCAGACUCCUACGGGAGGCAGCAGUGGGGAAUAUUGCACAAUGGGCGCAAGCCUGAUGCAGCGACGCCGCGUGGGGGAUGACGGCCUUCGGGUUGUAAACUCCUUUCAGCCAUGACGAAGCCCUUGUGGUGACGGUAGUGGUAGAAGAAGCACCGGCUAACUACGUG